GUGUUCGUAAAAAGAAGAGUUGGUUGACAUCUCCCCCUAAAAGGAUGGAAACAACCUUCUUGUUUUACCUAUUACCAUACAUCCGUUUAAGGCAUUCCAACUUGGUGGGACUAGCAAAGAAUGUG